rnacentral:rRNA from 1 species
AUGGACGAAAGUCUGAUGGAGCAACGCCGCGUGAGUGAAGAAGGAUUUCGGUUCGUAAAACUCUGUUGCAAGGGAAGAACAAGUAGCGUAGUAACUGGCGCUACCUUGACGGUACCUUGUUAGAAAGCCACGGCUAACUACGUGCCAGCAGCCGCGGUAAUACGUAGGUGGCAAGCGUUGUCCGGAAUUAUUGGGCGUAAAGCGCGCGCAGGUGGUUCCUUAAGUCUGAUGUGAAAGCCCCCGGCUCAACCGGGGAGGGUCAUUGGAAACUGGGGAACUUGAGUGCAGAAGAGGAUAGGGGAAUUCCAAGUGUAGCGGUGAAAUGCGUAGAGAUUUGGAGGAACACCAGUGGCGAAGGCGACUGUCUGGUCUGUAACUGACACUGAGGCGCGAAAGCGUGGGGAGCAAACAGGAUUAGAUACCCUGGUAGUCCACGCCGUAAACGAUGAGUGCUAAGUGUUGGGGGGUUUCCGCCCCUCAGUGCUGCAGCUAACGCAUUAAGCACUCCGCCUGGGGAG